rnacentral:rRNA from 1 species
UACGUAGGGUGCGAGCGUUGUCCGGAAUUAUUGGGCGUAAAGAGCUCGUAGGCGGUGUGUUACGUCGGCCGUGAAAACCUGCAGCUUAACUGUGGGCGUGCGGUCGAUACGGGCAUCACUGGAGUUCGGCAGGGGGAGACUGGAAUUCCUGGUGUAGCGGUGAAAUGCGCAGAUAUCAGGAGGAACACCGAUGGCGAAGGCAGCUCGCUGGGACGGUACUGACGCUGAGACGCGAAAAGCGUGGGGGAGCAAAACAGG